AAUCAACGCUGGCGGCGUGCCCCAGACAUGCAAGUCGAACGAUUAAACUUUCCUUCGGGAAGAUAUAAAGUGGCGCACGGGUGAGUAACACGUAGGUAAUGUACCUUUGGGUGGGGAAUAACCAUCGGAAACGAUGGCUAAUACCGCAUAAUGCAGCGGCAUCGCAAGAUGACAGUUGUUAAAGAUUUAUCGCCUAAAGAGCAGCCUGCGGCAGAUUAGGUAGUUGGAAGGUAAUGGCUUACCAAGCCUGCGAUCUGUAACCGACCUGAGAGGGUGGUCGGUCGACACUGACACUGAAUAACGGGUCAGACUCC
rnacentral:rRNA from 1 species